CAUUGUAGACACUCUUGCAAAAUGGGAUGAACGAAGGCAGUUCGAUUGUUUUUGGACAAUAAUGUUCGAGGAAGCGCUUGGCGCGGGAUGCUACCAAUGGGAGAAAUACGAUAUGUUCUUCUUCCCAAUUUGGGGUGAUAGCCAUCAAUAUGUGGUGUGUUUCGAUCUGGCAGAUGGCAAAAAGAAUAUCAUAGACCACAGUUUGGCUGAACCUCACGGAUCCUUCAGCACCAAAUAUGGCAAGACACUCUCUCUCCUGAAAUAAUUCAUGGAAGAUGCACUUACCAAGUGCAAAGUACCCAAAAUGGCAGGGCAGGUACGAAAAUGUAGUACCCAUGUGGUGACA